rnacentral:SRP_RNA from 1 species
CGGAAGUCGGCGCGGGCGAUGUGUUCGCCAACCCGGUCAGGGGCGAAAGCCAGCAGCCGUAACGAAUUUUAUCGGGUCGUGUCCGGCUUCCAUUU